rnacentral:ribozyme from 1 species
AGAAAGAAGAAGAAAAACUUGAAGGGAGAAGGAAAAGAAGCAAAAAAAAAAAAAAAAAGGGGGUGCCUGGGUUUUCUGUGUGAUUGUUGUGCUCUCUCUCUCUCUCUCUCUCUCUUU